rnacentral:rRNA from 1 species
UACGUAGGGUGCGAGCGUUAAUCGGAAUUACUGGGCGUAAAGCGUGCGCAGGCGGGCUUUUAAGCCAGACGUGAAAUCCCCGGGCUUAACCUGGGAAUGGCGUUUGGGACUGGAAGUCUGGAGUGCGGCAGAGGAGACUGGAAUUCCUGGUGUAGCAGUGAAAUGCGUAGAUAUCAGGAGGAACACCGAUGGCGAAGGCAGGUCUCUGGGCUGACACUGACGCUCAUGCACGAAAGCGUGGGGAGC